AUGAAAUAUACAGAAAGCAUUUCUUGGGGCAAGAGGAUGAGGAGAUUCUGCAGAAGUUCAGUACAAGCAGAGCCAGCGUUGAUCCUGACAGGAUUUGGUGCUGGGAAAAAAAACUUCAUCUGUAUGCCAAAAUGUCCGGGAAAGACUUUUGUUUUACUUCCAACUAUUUUUGAGCAGACCAUGGAAUAUAUUGAUGACACUUUAAUAUUUGGAAAGACCAUGAUUAGUACAUUCAUUGAGGUGUGA
rnacentral:lncRNA from 1 species